CAGUCGCCACGGUAAUACGAAGGGUGCAAGCGUUAAUCGGAAUUACUGGGCGUAAAGCGCACGCAGGCGGUUUGUUAAGUCUGUUGUGAAAUCCCCGGGCUCAACCUGGGAAUGGCAAUGGAUACUGGCAAGCUAGAGUGUGUCAGAGGAUGGUGGAAUUCCCGGUGUAGCGGUGAAAUGCGUAGAGAUCGGGAGGAACAUCAGUGGCGAAGGCGGCCAUCUGGGACAACACUGACGCUGAGGCACGAAAGCGUGGGGAGCAAACAGGAUUAGAUACCCGAGUAGUCCCUGUCUCUUAUAC
rnacentral:rRNA from 1 species